CGCAGCAUCAGGAAAUCCAGGUGAGUGUUCAGCUUCAGUGGCACAGGCUGUGUGGAGAACUAACUCGCACGGGCUCUGGUGUGCUGCGACUAAACUGUACGUAGCACCUAUUUCACCUGUUUAAAGGUGGUAGACCUAUCCAUAGUGCGAUUUGCACUGAACUAUAAGGUAACAUAUUUUAAUUUGUAUUUGGUAUGAGGGAAGAAGCACUCCCUUCAUUGUUAAUGACACAUAACUCAAUAAGCCCUUGUAACCCAACUGAAUGUCUAACCCUAAAUCGCACCUGAACAGGAUGUUUGCUACAGAGGCUAGCAAGAGAGGCAGGAUUGCAGACUUGUUUCAUCUCCUGUCAGAAGAGGAGGAGGAGGAAGAAGCAAGCCUAGGAGAACUGCUGUUUGCCUUAGCAAAGGACUGCAGAUGCACCAGGCUGGAGAGAACUCUGGUGCAUUUGACGCUGUGGAUCCCUGCCACUCUCCACCCAGGAUGGUCGUGGUAUGACUGAUGGUUACGUAUUUGGACAGAGUCAAGCAAGUCACGGUUCUUGCUCCAGGUGUUUUAUGAUUUGACUUAGAGAAACAGGACAGCCUUCAGUAAGUCCUUCUCUUUUUUCCAGUCCCUAUGUGCUGUUCACAGGACUUUGUUCAUGGCCCCGCUCUUUUAACAUCUUGCUAUUGAACAAAUGUAUUUCAUAUAGCUUUAAACAUCAGCUAUGUGCUCACUCCCUGUUAACCAAGCUUUCUGCUCCCACUUGUCUCCUCCUGGCAUGUGUGGCAUCUUAUCCUGUAACUGACAUCUAAUCUUGAAUUUCUCACCAAGUCCUAAAAUUCAGCAGGCUCCGCAAGACUCUUGACAUCAACCUUUUCAUACUGCUGACCUCUGUUAAUAUACCAGUCAGCCCUGGAAGUUUGUUGUUUGUUUGCUGGCGUCACUGCAGACUCAUCCACCAGACUAUCAAUAGGAACUAAAAAUUUUGGUAUUUCGGACAGACUUGGUCAGGCCUUUGUUAUUGCUUGUCUUCACUUCUGUAAUGUCACUUCCUC
rnacentral:lncRNA from 1 species